rfam:Tncinocarpus reesii 1704 scaffold_4 genomic scaffold, whole genome shotgun sequence.
GCUUCCGUGGCGCAAUGGUAGCGCGUCAGACUUCUAAUCUGAAGGUUGCGGGUUCGAGCCCCGCCGGAAGUG